GUAUAAAACAACAAUAAAUGUUAAGGUUUUUGUGACUUUCUUUAAAAUAGAUGCUGUCUGGCUCUGGUUAAUCUGACUUCGGUAAAUUAUGUAGUAAAGCACUUAAUUUUUAUUAUAAUAGUCUCUAAAAUCAAAAUGUUGAUAACCUUGAGAAACUUAAAAUUUAUUUUCUUCCCAGAUGCUAUGAAGUACACCAUCGUGGUUUCAGCUACUGCUUCUGAUGCUGCUCCCCUUCAGUACCUGGCUCCUUAUUCUGGCUGUUCUAUGGGAGAAUAUUUUAGAGAUAAUGGCAAACAUGCUUUGAUCAUCUAUGAUGACUUAUCCAAACAGGCUGUUGCUUAUCGUCAGAUGUCUCUGCUGCUCCACCGGCCCCCUGGUCGUGAGGCCUAUCCUGGUGAUGUGUUCUACCUACACUCCUGUCUGCUAGAGAGAGCAGCCAAAAUGAACGAUUCUUUUGGUGGUGGCUCCUUGACUGCUUUACCAGUCAUAGAAACACAAGCUGGUGAUGUGUUUGCUGACAUUCCAACAAAUGUCAUUUCCAUCACUGAUGGACAGAUCUUCUUGGAAACAGAAUUGUUCUACAAAGGUAUCCACCCUGCCAUUAAUGUUGGCUUGUCUGUGUCCCAUGUUGGAUCUGCUGCCCAAACCAGGGCCAUGAAGCAGGUGGCAGGGACCAUGAAGCUGGAAUUGGCUCAGUAUCAUAAGGUUGCUGCUUUUGCCCAAUUCGGUUUUGACCUUGAUGCUGCCACUCAGCAACCCUUGAGUUGUGGUGUGUGACUGACUGAGCUGCUUAAGCAAGGACAGUAUUCUCCCAUGGCUAUUGAAGAACAAGUGGCUGUUAUUUAUGCUGGUGUGAGAGGGUAUCUUGAUAAAUUGGAGCCCAGCAAGAUCACAAAGUUUGAGCAUGCUUUCCUGGCUCAUGUUAUCAGCCAGCACCAGGCCCUAUUGGGCAAUAGAAGGACUGAUGGAAAGAUCUCAGAACAGUCAGAUGCUAAGCUGAAAGAGAUUGUAACAAACUUCUUUGCUGGAUUUGAAGCUUAAACUCCUGAGAUCGAAGAG